UUCAUAUUUUUUGGCACACUAAAUGCAACUAUGAAAAAUACAAAACACACAAAUUAAUACAAUAAUAAACAAAAUAUUUUUAAAACAACAGCACGCAAAUUGUAAGGUAACCCAGGUGCUUCGGAUAAGUAAUUGAGCAGUUCUUUUAAGGCCUUUGAAACAAGACAAAAGUAGAACUGAAGGUAACCCAGUGCUAUGGAUCAAAAACAGUUCAUAUAAUAUUGUAACGAUAACCGAGCGGUCAAGCUUUGGUGUUAACUAUAAAUAUUGGAACCCUUAGUGUGUUGCUAUAAGAC
rnacentral:lncRNA from 1 species